rnacentral:tRNA from 1 species
UGGGAUACCAACCCACAUCUCCUGAAUGCAACUCAGGCUCUUUAAAUUAAGACAAAGCCCUCUAGAAUGA